UCAGCCUACGGGACGCAGCAGUGAGGAAUAUUGGUCAAUGGGCGGGAGCCUGAACCAGCCAAGUCGCGUGAGGGAAGACGGUCCUAUGGAUUGGAAACCUCUUUUGUCGGGGAGCAAAGAGGCCACGUGUGGUCAAAAGCGAGAGUACCCGAAGAAAAAGCAUCGGCUAACUCCGUGCCAGCAGCCGCGGUAAUACGGAGGAUGCGAGCGUUAUCCGGAUUUAUUGGGUUUAAAGGGUGCGUAGGCGGUACGGUAAGUCAGCGGUAAAAUUGCGGGGCUCAACUCCGUCGAGCCGUUGAAACUGC
rnacentral:rRNA from 1 species